AACGCACAUUGCGCCUUUUGGUAUUCCGAAGGGCAUGCCUGUUUGAGUGUUGUUAUUCUAUAUCGUCCUUGGAUGAUGUGUUGGAUGAAGCAGUCUACCGCUCGUCUCAAGAUUAUUGUACCACGUCUAGGUUUAUCCAUCGUGAAAAGUACAACUGAUCUUACAUCAGUAUGAUCAUUAUCAACGUAACCUCAAAUCAGGUAGGACUACGCGCUGAACUUAA
rnacentral:misc_RNA from 1 species